rnacentral:tRNA from 1 species
GCCGCAGUAUCCAAGAGGUUACGGAGAGCGCCUUGUAAGCGUUUUUUCAUCGGUUCAAAUCCGGUCUGCGGCU